UGGCAACAAUUAGCAUAUCCGCCAUUUUUAAAACACCGCCAUUUUAAUUCUUCUCUUCCUUUGGUGACGCUGCCUUGCAGAAAGAAAAUUAAAUUGAAUAGAUUUUAAAAUGUACUAACAUUUGUAUGUGAUAUACUGGUGAACUAUUUGUGUCUAGAAAUAUCAAUAUUUGCCUAUUUGAAACUGCAAAAGUUUGUGUAUUUGUAGGUAACGGUGCAACAAUGAGCGUCAUCAUUAGGCUACAAAACCUGCCCUGGUCCGCGAACGCCCUGGACAUUCGAAAUUUCUUUCGAGGACUUUCAAUACCGGAAGGCGGUGUUCACAUCGUAGGCGGAGAACUUGGAGACGCGUUCAUUGCGUUCAGGUAGAUAUGUACUUCACAAAUAUUGAAUCGAAGGCUGUGAAUUUUCAUUGGACUAUUUCAUUGAAAAUAUCUCAGUACUACAACCACUUGUUAAUUUUAAGUAACUUUAAGGAUGUAUUUAUUACAUAAUUUAUUUUUAUUUUAAUAAAUAAAAUAAUACAUUUUACCCUAUAUAUAUCUGUCACGCCUGUCUCCCAUUAAGGUAGGCAGAAACAGAAACAACCCUAUACUAUACUCUUAUUUCCAUUUGAAGAGUACAAAAGUAAUUACACUUUAUAAAAAAAAAUAAAAUAAAAAAAACUAUCAAUGGAAUAGAUAUAAUCUUAUUUUAAAUAAAAACUCUUUUAUAUCGUUUAUAAAAAAUUACGUGACUUGUGAGACAUCAAAUAACACUGCCAUAAAAAAAUAUAUUUUGUUUUAAAUGAUUUUGUUUUACAAAAUUAUGCUAGCCAAUUCUUUUUUGUAAAACAAAAUAGUAUAUGUUAUUAAUACUAUUUUAUGAGAAAUAUUUUUUUUAUUUACAAAAUGAGUAUCUGAAUAAGAUACAAGUAUGUAAGACGACACUAAAAUUUAUAGAUAGAUAAUAAAAAAUCAACUUAUAUAAUUUACGUUCUUAAUUUAAAUUUUUAAAUGUUUUAAUGCAAAUUAGUGGACAUGCAAAAGAAUAAAAGUAAUACACAGUCAGCUAAUUCAUUCAUUGCCAUUCUAAGUUGUAUAAAAAAAAAGCUAAAAUAAUUUACACACUUAAUAUUAUUUAAUAGUCAACACAAAUUAGUGGAUACUCACAAAAAGAUAAGUAGUAAUACAGAUUUAACUAACAUGGUAUGCUAAAUAUAAAUUAGUACAAAUUGGUGAAUAGACAGAACAAAAUAUAGAUUCGACUAGUAUAAUUUACCUACGUAAUAUAAAAUUUUGUGUGAUUCGUUUACGAUUAUGUGUAUGACUCUACUGGGAACGGCUUAUCCGGAGACAGAGGACUAUAAAUACUCGUGUCUUAAACCGCGGCAUAUCGUAAGUCUAAUGCGUAGGAUUUAUAAAAAUAGAAUAAGGCAGAGAGAAACAGUAAAUACCGAUGGAUCGACGUGCAACAGAUGUUUAAUAGAUGAUAAAAGAACAGUAACCCCGCCUAUGCAAAUGGUAUACUCUGGCAGGGCACCAGUAAGAGAUGAUAGGUGAGAACGAAAAGAGGUCAGUUAGCCCAUCGCCAUGAAUACACUUGGAAUUCAACACGGUUUCCAGGUGAUACAACGGGGAGGUCGACCUGAUAGGGGUAUAUUUUUGGUAAUGGGAAUGGCAUUUCGCAUUACUAACAAUCCCUUCGCCCCGUGCAACAGUUUGUAAGCUGACCUCAAAGGCGAAUUAAAAUAUUAUUACCUAUAUAGUAUAGAUAUCUCGAGAUUCACGAUUCAUUUGGAGAGAAAUGGCUCGUGAGAUUUUAUAUCAUUCAAAUGGAGAUCUUCACUGGGUUAGUAUGCGAACACACACAUUUUUUCAAAUACCAGCUAUUGCUUUAAUCGAGUAUGGGGUUACAUGUGCAGAUCAUCAUGAUGCAUUUGGUAAGUAAAUUAGGUGUUUUUUCUAAAAGAAUUUAUUUUAGAUAUAUCUACCAGUACUUUAUACUUUUAUAUGUAUCUGUAAUUUUAUAUCAUAAAAUGUAUUUGAUAUUGGAUGUCAGACCCUAAAUAUAUUUUGUUCAAGUAUGUUAAUAUUAUUUUUGUAAAAGCUUCCAAUUCUGGUUAUAAUUUUAAUCCAAAAUUUGCUGUGAUAAUUUAGAUUAAUUUAGCUCAGGCUUCAUUAUAAUUUUGUCAGGGUAUUAUCUAGUUUACCAUCUCAUUAAAUAUCUUUUCUAAUGCAAAAACUUAAGUAAGGACAUUGUCUAGGUUAUAAAAUUCAACAAAUUUUUUUUACUAGUAUCUUGUUAAAUCAUAUAAUCUGCCCAUUUACCUAUCUAAAUAUAUUUAAAAACUUCUGUUGGUCUAACUUACGUUCUUAAUAUAAGUGUGUUUAUACACUCAAUGUAAGACUAAAAGAUUCUAUAAUUUUAAUUUACUAUUACUAUGCGUUUUUACCAAUUCGAACAAAAUUUGAAAAUAUGGUACAAUAUAAUCUCGAUUAUUCGAAUCAAAUAAAACCAGAGGUACUCCGGAUAAUUGAAAUCCGGAUAAGCUAUUUCAAAGCCAAAUCAAACAAUAAAUAAAUUUAAUCAUUUUUUUAUUAUGUAAAGGGUUUUACAUAUAUCAUUUAAACAAUACGAUAUAAAAAAAAAUACGAGCUAUGAAGAUAAUGAAUUACUUAAUACUUAUUUAUCGAAUUGAUACAUAAUAUUUCUAAAUUGGUAAUAAGAGGUGUGAAGAAUAAGUCCGAAUAAUCGAAUAUACUAUAUGUUGUAGUUUUUUUAUCGUAUUUUUAAAUUACAAUUUAUAUUAAAGAUAAUUAGAUUUAAGAAAAAAAAUUAUUCAUGCACAAUGCGAAAAAAAAUUUCCAAUGGUAAAAAUUAGAUAUCAAUAAAUAAAUAACUGAAUGUUGUUGACCAUUAAACGUUAUAAGUAUCUCUAAACAUAAAACAAAAUAAUAAGCCUAUUUUAGUUCACCACUGUAAGAAUAUUCUAAGAAUUAAUUUUAAAUUCACCGCACAUUUAAUAUUUGUAGACUAUACCUGACUGCAUCACGACAUGAUGUUUGGGAGAAACUAGCUAAUCUUAAUCUUUAGGACAAUAAAAAUUUACAUGGCGAUAUCCAGUUUGCAAUAUUACAACCGAAUUGCUUUCGCAAGCAAAUAGUACCUUACUCUUACUAUUACCUACCUUUGAAUAUAAAACAAUAUUUUUUGAUAUGUGAGACACCUAUAUUUAACGGAAAUGACCAAAUGACAAUUUAGAUUUAGUAUCUUCAAGGAAAAUGACAAAAUAUCCUGUAAAUAAGGAGGUCGCUAUCACAGAGAUCAGAACGAUGCUUGCUAGUGCAAUUUUUAAGUUUCGUAAGCCGAUGGAGACACACUGAAUGGUUACGACAAAUGAAAAGCAUACUGUUUAUCGGCAUAAUUUAAUUCGACGUUAUUCGUCGUCUGUUCUACAUAAUAAAGUCCUGAGACGUAUGUUAUUCAUCGAUGCCCUGCAACAUAUUUGAGAUCUCUUCUCCAUCUAGCCAGAUUAGAUCCCAACAUGAGAAUAUUUCAUUCCAAUCGAUUCGGUUCGUUUAUAUUGUUGCUCUUCUCGACUGAAAGAAACACUAUCAUGUAGAUUUGUUAUCUAAGCUUUUACCUCUAUAUUCAACUCUUGGAACUGAUUCGAGAACAUUCAAGUAUUAUCUAACGCAAUUUUUGAAGAUUUUUGAUAUGUGACAUUUUUCUGUUACUGCUCUCCCGCUCCCUAAAUGUUACAUAACACCCAAAUGGCCAUUUUGACCUAAAAAUUACGUAGAAAACGCGAGGGAUAGCCCAUAAAACAAACUAAAUGGGUUGCCAAUUUAAAAGAUUUCAAUUCCUUGGUUAUUUAUUUAAAUAAAGAAAAGUUUUGUAAUUAAAAAUUACGUUACAAAAUACUUGAAUGUUCACUUCGUCUUUCUACUGCAAAUAUUGAAUUGGAUUCAUCUGACUACCCCGACACUGGAGUGAAGACAUAUAUUUAAUUAUUUUUUUUUUUUUAUGUUUUCUCCAUGGCUGUUAUUUGAAUAGUAAAGGUGGGUAAUAUAACUUCUAAGGUAUGAAGCUAUUGACAGUAAUUUCACAAGAAAAAAUUGAUACCCUUAUUUAUAUGACUGUCCACAAAAGAGGUGAAAUGUUUUCAGGGUGUGUAUGUUUGUGAAUUUCUAUAUUCCACCAUAAUUUCUUUUUUUAUGUACAUUGGUGGUAUCGUUAGAAUCCUUACGUUAUCAUACGAGAUACUGGUUAUAAUUUCUUUUUGAUUUUUUUUGUCUAUACAAUGGAUAUGAUCCUUUGAUGAUAAGCCUACAACGAACCUCAACGUUUACAACAAUGAAGGCAUCAUUGCCAAUUCUCGAAAUAUGAAGAUCUUGUAUUGCUAUACUCUAAUUGUAUACAGACAAAUUUCUUUUGAAUCUAUUUUCUUGCUAUUAUUGAUAGUUUUAAUUAUUUAGCGGCUACAACUACGAACCAAAACAUCAUAGCUGUAAUCACGAAAUUUGACGAUAGUUGGCGGAUAACUUGUAUUUACUUUUAGUAUAUUCCAUAUUGUUAACAUUGGUGAAGUUACAUAAGGUAUAAUUUAUUACGUUUAUAUCGUAUUUCAUAGUAGGAAAUGGCGUUAUUUCGAUAACAAAACUAUUGUUCUCGCUUCGGAAUUAGAAUUAUAUUGUGCACUCGAGUAUUACAUGAAAUUAUUUUUUCCCAUGAACGCUCAGGCUGAGGGAUGAGAGUUGCCGAGGUUUCCCCUAGAGACUACAGUAUGGGGUUCUUCAAAAAGGAUUGUUCAAAGAAAAUUUUAGAGUCUGCAACGCGCACGUGACACCCCUAAUGUUGGAGGCGUCCAUAGGCUAUAGUGACCAUUUACCAUUAGACGGGCAGUAUGUUUGUUUGCCACCUAUCUGGUAUAAAAAAAAAUGAAAUCUAGAAAAUUAUCUACUUAUUUUUUAGUAUGUGAAAUUAAGAUCUCGAUAUCUUACAGCAACUAGAUAGCGUUCAAAGAGUUAUAUCGAUCUCUUAAGAACUUUUGAUGGUCAAUAAUUAAAUAUAAGGAACUUCGUAGGCAAAUCCACAUCUGCUUUGGAUUUGAAGAUUUUUGUCGUAAUGACUACAAAUGUGACUCCUAUGUAUAGAUAAAGAUAAAAAUUUACACUUUGCAACUCACUUCAUUCUAAAUUUCAUAUAUUCUAUAAGCUUUGGUUACGACAAGAGAAGUGAAAGGUAAGCGUAUUGUGAAAACUAAAGUGAGAAAGAACUAGAACAAGAACUAUCAACUACCCCAUAAUUGGAAACGCCGCCAUCUUAACGAAAAGUUGCUCGAAAAGAUCUUACUUAUUUACAGAAUAUCAAAUUUUAAUCACACUCGGAGCAGCUAGGCAACUCGAGUUUGUUUUUAUAAAAUGUAUUUCAUGGGCUAUGUAUUUGUUACCAUUGUAGUAACCGUCAUUGAAUGUCGUAUACGAAAUAAAAUUUACUGGUGAAAGCUAGAUUCGCUUUUAGGAGUAUGUACUAUUUAAGAAACUAGAUAUUUAAUUUUUCACACUUGUAAGUAGCAAUCCAAAGUUACGAGAAAUAUACACAUCAUUUUAUCUAUGGGGAUCGUUUUCAAAUUAUACAAUAUUUCAAACUAUCAACUGAAGAUCUUAAAGAUUCUGAAUCGAAAAUUAUUUAUUUAUAUCGUUUUUCUACGCUUUAGUAUGAAGUACUUACCAUACUAUAUAAUUAUUUAUUUUUAGGGUUCCAUAUUUCAAAAUGAAAAUACGGAAUCCUUACGGCUUCCUUUCUUUUUAUUCGCGUUUCUAUCUAUCCGUCUGUCAGAUUUAAUUUACUCCAAAACUUUUAGACCGAUUGAGAUGAAAUUUGGUCACAUAUGUAAGUUGGGGACUCAAAGAUGGAUGUGUAACGUAAAUAAAUAAAUUUUAAAUAUGGCGAUCACUUUUGUUAGGUAAAUUAGAACAUUAAAAAAAAGAUGCAAACUAUAUCGUGUCACAUAUGAAAUGAAUAAUUUCUUGUGACAGUCUUAAUUUUUGAAUCUUAAACAGUUUUGAAUUUAUAUAAGAGAAAAUGGGCUAAAAUUAACCAUGUGUUCUUGCUUUUAUUACAUUGUAAAAAUUUCCACUUAUUUGUAUUAUUUUUCAUAGAAUAAUAUGUAAUUUACUCUUAUCUAUUUAGGAAUUAUCUACUUUAUAAAUAUGAUAGAAGAAGGAUUGCUUUAAAAAUCCCUAGCAAUAAUUUAGAUCUUAGAUUAUCGCUAGAGAUCCUCAAAGCAUUCUAUAGACGGAAUCUCCUAAAUUCUAUGUGAUCCCAUCUAUAGAUGAUUACCCGUCUAUUUUAAAAGAAAUGCAUGCAAUAUCUAUUUGUACACUGACGCAUCACAAAUAUUUUGUAGGAGUAAGUAUGUACUAUAGGUUUAAAUAAGAUUGAGUCUGUGUAACUACUUGUGAUUAGCAACAAGUCAAAAGUGUAGAUCAUUAGGUUAAUUUUGUAUAAUAUUAGGUUCAUUUCUACCAAAACCGAUAAGCUUGUUAGGAGGGAUAUUCCUUAAGUAAGUAUGUAUGUACUUCAUAUUUACGUCGUUUUAGCUACUUGCUAAUUUGUCUAGAUAUCCAGAAAAGAGCAUAUUCCUUUUUAAAAGGCCGGCAACACACCUGCAAUGCCGCUGGUGUUGUGAGUGUUCAUGAGCGGCGGUAGUCACUUGCCAUCAGAUGAGCCGCGUACUAAUUUGUCCCUUGUGUAAUAAAACAAAAUUUUCCCAACAAGCAUCUGCAAUGUAUGAUGAAAAGAACUGAUCUAUAAUUGCACAUUUGAAGACUAAUAUCCACAGACUAGGCUAUCCCUGUACUUAAGCCAACGCUAUUUGGAUACCAGCUCACCACGAUAUGCUGUUUCUGUUUGCAUGCAAGUUGCAUGUUAUUUUCGAACAAGCAGCUUACGUGGACCUUAAUGACGAAAGUGAGUGGCGAUAUGGUACUUUGAUUGUAAUACAUACUCCAGUCAAGUGUACUAUAACCUAUAUCUAAAUAUCAAUGUAAGAUUUGAAGAUUCAGGUACAACACUAGACGAUCGCGAUCGACUCCUAGCAACGUUCCCUCAUUAUUUCUGUAAUCUAUCGUAUUUCAAGGGUGGAAAUUAGUCUCCGUUCAAUUAUCUAGUUUAAUUUAAAUUAAAUAUAAAAAAUUAUUGGAAUCAGAUAUAAGGUCACUAUAAAUCAAGAACCAACAUAAAUCCCAAGCUGGAACAGGAGAGGUAUUUGAUAGUUCCAUUUACGAACAGAUUAUCAUUCAGUAUAGAGUUCUGGUAGUUCUGGAACAUAGAUGGCGAUUGUGCUCUUUGUCCACUCCGACGAAUGUUGAGGGCACGGCACCAUCACUACCUCCUGCAUAAGAACUCAGACUGAUAGAACACAGUGUACAAGCGUUCGUACAAAGAAUUUGUGGUGCAAACUGCAAACAUGAAAUGUAGAUAUUUUUGGCUUCGGAAAAUGGAAACGGAUCCAGAUCCGUUUCGCUCCGCAACCAGUUACGCAACUCCUCUUACAUUAAAUCAUAAAGGCACUGAGAUUAAGGGUCUUUGGAUACUUCACAACACACAUUACAUGGCUGUGAUGAUCACGAUUGUAUCCGUGACCUGGAUUGCAGAAAUGUCAUAUCUAGGCUUGUGUUUGUUCCUUUUGUAACAGGUCGCUAGUUUUAAAAGUCAGUAUUGACACAUUUAAGUCUGAUAAAGCUAAAUAUUAAUGUUCAUCCCGGAUAACGUUCGAAGUAAGUCAUAUAAAAUUUAACCACUGCGAUUAUCUAAGUAUUCGGGCUAGUGCAACUCAUUAUUUGUCCGGCUGGCCAAUUGAACCGAGUAUGUGUGUUAUACCGACGCUGUAAUCAUGGUUUUAGUCAACAUGGUUGAUGAUCAUUGAUUUUAUACCUUCAUACUAGAUGACUACAGCAAGCAGACCACGGUACCAGUGCUGUGCAGUAGCGCACAUUUAUAAAGUUUAAGCAUCAUUAAUAUGCGCUUUCGAAAUAAUCUACGUGACAAAUUCUAUCGACUUAUCAAAAAUCAGCAUUCUAGAAUAUAUACAAAAUUCAAACAACAUGAUUGACAAGAUGACUCCGGAAGGAAACCAUUAAAAACUUAUUCUUAUUCAUUAAUAUGCUUAUUACAAAAUUUGAUAAUUAGUUACAAAAUUAAGGUCAUUAGAGAGGUGGUAUGUUUCACAAAACUUAUGACAUUAAAUAACAAUAUUAUUAUUUAAUACUUGAAAUGUAUUUUUAACAUUAGUCACUCAUAUCACUUUCUAAUAUCUCUUAUUAUUUAUAAUUAUUUUAUUUUCUUUAAUUUUAUUUAUAUUCGUGAUGGCCAUCAUCAUUUUAUUCGGAGUGAAUACGUAAUUUUGAAUAGAAUUUCAUAUAGAUAUAGAUCAUUUAUUCACAAUUUACAAAACUACAAUUCCAGUUUCAAUUAAUCAUGUCAUUUCAUUACAAAUUUAUGUACAUACGAGGUUUGUCCGGAAAGUACGUAUAAAAGUUUUUUAAAAAUUUUAUUUUACAAUUAUUCAGGUAAAUCAAUUUUAUCCCCUUCAAAGUACUCCCCCUGUGACAUAAUGCACUUGUGCCAACGCCGUUUCCACUGUGAGAAGGCUCCUUGAAAGUCCUCUGGUUGUAGGUUUCUCAGCUGCCCCGUCGUAGCUUUUUUUAUCUCAUUUAUGUCCCCCAAAUGCCGCCCCCGAAGUACCAAUUUGGUUUUUGGGAACAAGAAGAAGUCACACGGGGCCAAAUCCGGCGAAUAGGGGGGGUGUUCGGUCACCGUAAUGGAAUUUUUACUCAAAAACUCACGGACAACAAGAGAGGUGUGGGCAGGGGCAUUGUCGUGGUGAAGAAUCCAACGCCCCUCUCGCGCCAAUUCUGGACGAACUCGUGCCACACGAGCUUUGAGGCGUCUGAGCACAUCGACGUAGAAUUUUCCAUCAACUGUCUGGCCUGGAGGGACGAAUUCUUGAUGGACAAUCCCCCGAACAUCGAACUCUUUCUCGGCCCUCUCUGAAUCUUUUUAGCCACUUGUGGACGGUUGGUUCCUUCACAGCAUCAUCCCCAUAAACUGUUCUGAGAUCGGCAAAAAUUUCACGGCCAUUCUUGCCGAGUUUCGAGAGAAACUUGAUUACGACGCGCUGCUCUUCAACGGAAGCGGGCUCCAUGCCGACGGGGUUUCGUUAAGAGGUAACUUCACAGAUGGCGUGACAAGCCAGUUCGCACCGCACGGCGGUCAGACCAGAACUGAAGCAUUGUUAGGGACAUAAGGAAGGGGUCCUGCGCUUACCUGGCCUCCCCACUCCUCUUUCUCGCAUUCCAGAACACUUUUAUACGAACUUUCCGGACAGACCUCGUAUCUAUCUAUCUAAUACCUAGUUUUUUUUAAAGGGUGAUAAUGGAAUGGUAACCCCGCCUGCGUUAUCGGUAUACGCUGGCGGGGCACCAGUGAGCGAUGAUAUGUCACGAUGAAAUAAGGUUAGUUAGCCCAUCGUGACGAAUUCCACUAGAAUUAACCACGGUGGUUUCCAGUGGGAACCGUGUGGAGGUUGACCUGAUGGGGUUUAUUGCUAACAAUGGGUCAGUUAGACCCCAUUACUAAAUUAUUAGUAAUGGGGUCUAACUGACCCAAGGGAUUACCCUUUCCCCCCAAUAAUACCUAGUUAAGUAAAAUAUUAUUACUUGCAUAUGUAUAUAUACUAGAAUCGAAUAUAUAUCAAAUUAGUAAUGACGAGGUCUUGCUUAGGGUUAAGGAAAAGAGACAAAUUAUAAGAACUAUUGAGGUCAGAAAGGAAAAUAUAUUA